UCCCCGGGGCUUCAGGUCCACAGGGCGCCAGAGGGGUCAGAGGUCAGCCUGGACCAAUAGGAAUCAUCGGCCUACCUGGACCUCAGGGAGGACCGGGACUAGCUGGGAACCCGGGAUCACCCGGGCGCCGUGGAGCUAACGGACAAAAGGGCCAACCAGGAGACCCAGGUGGUGCAGGAGCUCCGGGGUCACUGGGACCGCGAGGAAUGCCGGUGAGCAGCUGAAACG